rfam:Cerapachys biroi unplaced genomic scaffold scaffold82, whole genome shotgun sequence.
CCUUCGAUAGCUCAGUUGGUAGAGCGGUGGACUGUAGUUGAUCGCGUGUUCCAAAAUAGCCAUCCAUAGGUCGCUGGUUCAAAUCCGGCUCGAAGGA